GGGUUGUGAGGUUAAGCGACUAAGCGUACACGGUGGAUGCCCUGGCAGUCAGAGGCGAUGAAGGACGUGCUAAUCUGCGAAAAGCGUCGGUAAGGUGAUAUGAACCGUUAUAACCGGCGAUGUCCGAAUGGGGAAACCCAGUGCAAUUCGUUGCACUAUCGUUAACUGAAUACAUAGGUUAACGAGGCGAACCGGGGGAACUGAAACAUCUAAGUACCCCGAGGAAAAGAAAUCAACCGAGAUUCCCCCAGUAGCGGCGAGCGAACGGGGAGCAGCCCAGAGUCUGAAUCAGCUUGUGUGUUAGUGGAACGGUCUGGAAAGUCCGACGGUACAGGGUGAUAGUCCCGUACACCAAAAUGCACAGGUUGUGAACUCGAAGAGUAGGGCGGGACACGUGGUAUCCUGUCUGAAUAUGGGGGGACCAUCCUCCAAGGCUAAAUACUCCUGACUGACCGAUAGUGAACCAGUACCGUGAGGGAAAGGCGAAAAGAACCCCGGCGAGGGGAGUGAAAAAGAACCUGAAACCGUGUACGUACAAGCAGUGGGAGCACCUUCGGGUGUGACUGCGUACCUUUUGUAUAAUGGGUCAGCGACUUAUAUUCUGUAGCAAGGUUAACCGUAUAGGGGAGCCGCAGGGAAACCGAGUCUUAACUGGGCGUUAAGUUGCAGGGUAUAGACCCGAAACCCGGUGAUCUAGCCAUGGGCAGGUUGAAGGUUGGGUAACACUAACUGGAGGACCGAACCGACUAAUGUUGAAAAAUUAGCGGAUGACUUGUGGCUGGGGGUGAAAGGCCAAUCAAACCGGGAGAUAGCUGGUUCUCCCCGAAAGCUAUUUAGGUAGCGCCUCGUGAAUUCAUCUUCGGGGGUAGAGCACUGUUUCGGCUAGGGGGUCAUCCCGACUUACCAACCCGAUGCAAACUACGAAUACCGAAGAAUGUUAUCACGGGAGACACACGGCGGGUGCUAACGUCCGUCGUGAAGAGGGAAACAACCCAGACCGCCAGCUAAGGUCCCAAAGUCAUGGUUAAGUGGGAAACGAUGUGGGAAGGCACAGACAGCCAGGAUGUUGGCUUAGAAGCAGCCAUCAUUUAAAGAAAGCGUAAUAGCUCACUGGUCGAGUCGGCCUGCGCGGAAGAUGUAACGGGGCUAAACCAUGCACCGAAGCUGCGGCAGCGACACUAUGUGUUGUUGGGUAGGGGAGCGUUCUGUAAGCCUGCGAAGGUGUGCUGUGAGGCAUGCUGGAGGUAUCAGAAGUGCGAAUGCUGACAUAAGUAACGAUAAAGCGGGUGAAAAGCCCGCUCGCCGGAAGACCAAGGGUUCCUGUCCAACGUUAAUCGGGGCAGGGUGAGUCGACCCCUAAGGCGAGGCCGAAAGGCGUAGUCGAUGGGAAACAGGUUAAUAUUCCUGUACUUGGUGUUACUGCGAAGGGGGGACGGAGAAGGCUAUGUUAGCCGGGCGACGGUUGUCCCGGUUUAAGCAUGUAGGCUGAUUGUCCAGGCAAAUCCGGAUAAUCAAGGCUGAGGUGUGAUGACGAGGCACUACGGUGCUGAAGUAACAAAUGCCCUGCUUCCAGGAAAAGCCUCUAAGCAUCAGGUAACAUUAAAUCGUACCCCAAACCGACACAGGUGGUCAGGUAGAGAAUACCAAGGCGCUUGAGAGAACUCGGGUGAAGGAACUAGGCAAAAUGGUGCCGUAACUUCGGGAGAAGGCACGCUGGUGUGUAGGUGAAGUCCCUGCGGAUGGAGCUGAGACCAGUCGAAGAUACCAGCUGGCUGCAACUGUUUAUUAAAAACACAGCACUGUGCAAACACGAAAGUGGACGUAUACGGUGUGACGCCUGCCCGGUGCCGGAAGGUUAAUUGAUGGGGUUAUCCGUAAGGAGAAGCUCUUGAUCGAAGCCCCGGUAAACGGCGGCCGUAACUAUAACGGUCCUAAGGUAGCGAAAUUCCUUGUCGGGUAAGUUCCGACCUGCACGAAUGGCGUAAUGAUGGCCAGGCUGUCUCCACCCGAGACUCAGUGAAAUUGAACUCGCUGUGAAGAUGCAGUGUACCCGCGGCAAGACGGAAAGACCCCGUGAACCUUUACUAUAGCUUGACACUGAACAUUGAGCCUUGAUGUGUAGGAUAGGUGGGAGGCUUUGAAGCGUGGACGCCAGUCUGCGUGGAGCCAACCUUGAAAUACCACCCUUUAAUGUUUGAUGUUCUAACGUUGGCCCCUGACCGGGGUUGCGGACAGUGUCUGGUGGGUAGUUUGACUGGGGCGGUCUCCUCCCAAAGCGUAACGGAGGAGCACGAAGGUUAGCUAAUCCUGGUCGGACAUCAGGAGGUUAGUGCAAUGGCAUAAGCUAGCUUGACUGCGAGCGUGACGGCGCGAGCAGGUGCGAAAGCAGGUCAUAGUGAUCCGGUGGUUCUGAAUGGAAGGGCCAUCGCUCAACGGAUAAAAGGUACUCCGGGGAUAACAGGCUGAUACCGCCCAAGAGUUCAUAUCGACGGCGGUGUUUGGCACCUCGAUGUCGGCUCAUCACAUCCUGGGGCUGAAGUAGGUCCCAAGGGUAUGGCUGUUCGCCAUUUAAAGUGGUACGCGAGCUGGGUUUAGAACGUCGUGAGACAGUUCGGUCCCUAUCUGCCGUGGGCGCUGGAGAAUUGAGGGGGGCUGCUCCUAGUACGAGAGGACCGGAGUGGACGCAUCACUGGUGUUCGGGUUGUCAUGCCAAUGGCACUGCCCGGUAGCUAAAUGCGGAAGAGAUAAGUGCUGAAAGCAUCUAAGCACGAAACUUGCCCCGAGAUGAGUUCUCCCUGAGACUUUAAGUCUCCUGAAGGAACGUUAAAGACGAUGACGUUGAUAGGCCGGGUGUGUAAGCGCAGCGAUGCGUUGAGCUAACCGGUACUAAUGAACCGUGAGGCUUAACCUUACAACGCCGAAG
rnacentral:rRNA from 1 species